rnacentral:rRNA from 1 species
ACAUGCAGUCGAGCGGACAGAAGGGAGCUUGCUCCCGGAUGUUAGCGGCGGACGGGUGAGUAACACGUGGGUAACCUGCCUGUAAGACUGGGAUAACUCCGGGAAACCGGAGCUAAUACCGGAUAGUUCCUUGAACCGCAUGGUUCAAGGAUGAAAGACGGUUUCGGCUGUCACUUACAGAUGGACCCGCGGCGCAUUAGCUAGUUGGUGGGGUAAUGGCUCACCAAGGCGACGAUGCGUAGCCGACCUGAGAGGGUGAUCGGCCACACUGGGACUGAGACACGGCCCAGACUCCUACGGGAGGCAGCAGUAGGGAAUCUUCCGCAAUGGACGAAAGUCUGACGGAGCAACGCCGCGUGAGUGAUGAAGGUUUUCGGAUCGUAAAGCUCUGUUGUUAGGGAAGAACAAGUGCGAGAGUAACUGCUCGCACCUUGACGGUACCUAACCAGAAAGCCACGGCUAACUACGUGCCAGCAGCCGCGGUAAUACGUAGGUGGCAAGCGUUGUCCGGAAUUAUUGGGCGUAAAGGGCUCGCAGGCGGUUUCUUAAGUCUGAUGUGAAAGCCCCCGGCUCAACCGGGGAGGGUCAUUGGAAACUGGGAAACUUGAGUGCAGAAGAGGAGAGUGGAAUUCCACGUGUAGCGGUGAAAUGCGUAGAGAUGUGGAGGAACACCAGUGGCGAAGGCGACUCUCUGGUCUGUAACUGACGCUGAGGAGCGAAAGCGUGGGGAGCGAACAGGAUUAGAUACCCUGGUAGUCCACGCCGUAAACGAUGAGUGCUAACUGUUANGGGGUUUCCGCCCCUUAAUGCUGCAGCUAACACAUUAAGCACUCCACCUGGGGAGUACGGUCGCGAGACUGAAACUCAAAGGAAUUGACGGGUGCCCGCACAAG